rnacentral:rRNA from 1 species
UGUCCUACGAGAGGCAGCAGUGAGGAAUAUUGGUCAAUGGGCGCGAGCCUGAACCAGCCAAGCCGCGUGAGGGAAGACGGUCCUAUGGAUUGUAAACCUCUUUAGGCGGGGAGCAAUGCCGGGCACGUGUGCCCGGAGGGAGAGUACCCGCAGAAUAAGCAUCGGCUAACUCCGUGCCAGCAGCCGCGGUAAUAUGGAGGAUGCGAGCGUUAUCCGGAUUUAUUGGGUUUAAUGGGUGCGUAGGCGGAUUUUUAAGUCAGCGGUAAAAUGUCCGGGCUCAACCCGGGCCGGCCGUUGAAACUGGG